rnacentral:antisense_RNA from 1 species
CGGAUGGUGUACUCCCAGAUGGCGUCCGGGUCGAGGAGCACCUGGUCGCCGAAGUACGCGCCGUCGGCGAGGACGCCGAGGACCUGGUCGUCGCCGUAGGGACCGGUGCCGACCUUCUGGACCCUGCCGUGCGCCAGCAGGUACACCUCGUCGGCCUGGUUGCCGAACGAGGCGAUCACCUGGCCGGCCCCGACCUCCCGCUGCCGGCAGCGCUGGGCGAGCUCCGAGAGCACGUCCUCGUCCUCGUACCCCCGCAGGGCCGGCAGCUCGCCGAGUUCGGCGGGGAUGACCUCGACGCGGUCCCCGGUCUUCACAAAGGUGAUGCGGCCGUCGCCGACGGCGUAGGUGAGCCGCCGGUUCACCCGGUAGGUGCCGCCCUGUACGUCGACCCAGGGCAGCAUGCGCAGCAGCCAGCGUGAGCUGAUCUCCUGCAUCUGGGGAACGGACUUGGUGGUGGUGGCCAGGUUCCGCGCGGCCGCGGUGCCGAGACUCUGCUGAGGCCUGUCCU